AGUGAACGCUGGCGGUAGGCCUAACACAUGCAAGUCGAACGGCAGCACAGUAAGAGCUUGCUCUUACGGGUGGCGAGUGGCGGACGGGUGAGGAAUACAUCGGAAUCUACUUUUUCGUGGGGGAUAACGUAGGGAAACUUACGCUAAUACCGCAUACGACCUACGGGUGAAAGCAGGGGAUCUUCUGACCUUGCGCGAUUGAAUGAGCCGAUGUCGGAUUAGCUAGUUGGCGGGGUAAAGGCCCACCAAGGCGACGAUCCGUAGCUGGUCUGAGAGGAUGAUCAGCCACACUGGAAGUGAGACACGGUCCAGACUCCUACGGGAGGCAGCAGUGGGGAAUAUUGGACAAUGGGCGCAAGCCUGAUACAGCCAUACCGCGUGGGUGAAGAAGGCCUUCGGGUUGUAAAGCCCUUUUGUUGGGAAAGAAAAGCAGCAGGUUAAUACCCCGCUGUUCUGACGGUACCCAAAGAAUAAGCACCGGCUAACUUCGUG
rnacentral:rRNA from 1 species